UUAUGAAUCACCUGGGAAUCUUAUAAAAGUGCAGAUUCAGGUUCAGUGUUUGGGGUGCAGCCUGAGAUUCUGCAUUUCUAAUGAGUUCCCAGCUGGAGCUGAU
rnacentral:miRNA from 1 species